GAGACAGGACAGGAAGAUGCACGUCUCUGUCUCGGAUUCAUUCUUCCUGGUGUGGCAAGGGGGACAACUGGAUAUCUUUCUGACGAGUGCAUGUGAUUGCUCCAUCCUACUCAGGUGUAGUGGCCAGUUCUGAUUGGCUGUUGGUAAGAGAAGAAUACUUUCCUUACCCCUGACGAUCUGUGGGAGCUCAAUGCUCAGAUGAAAUUUGGCCCAAUGGGAUCUCUAUGAAGGUUAUCAUGGGGCCUAAAAGAGAAGAGAAACUGUCUAUGCCUUUGCCUUUCUUGAAUGCCAUCUUUAGAGAGUAAGAUCACAACUUAAUUUUAAGUCAAUGGUCCUUCAUUCCUACCUGUGGCCUUUUGGACCCCCUUGCAGAAGAUCACUUCUUGAGAACUCAUUUGGGAGUGAAUGAUAUCAAUAAAUCCUUGAAACAAGACUCUUCAGACAAUAGGACUUUUGUUCAAGUGCUACCCUCUGAAGGUGAUGACCACAAAUGUGAGGUGGAUUUAUUACUGAGGGUGCCAUUACUUCUACCACAAACUUCACCAAAGCAAUGAUACCAUCUUCUUUAUGCUUGGAGAAUCUUCUCUUUCCUGUGUUGCAGUGGACACCUCCUGCAGAUAAGAAAUGCUUAACUGAGAAAUGCUCAUGUUGGGAUAUCAUCGAUGAGACUUUAAUUUGGGCAUGGUGACUGUUUCCCUUGCUGCCACUUGACUCAAUCCCAGGAGCCUCAGUAGAGGAAAUAUUAUUGCACCAGAAACUCAAAAUGAUGGAAUUGCUCAGUGCUCCCAUAAAUAUACAUUUAUAAUUUCCAUUUGCCAUAUGGUAAAAUUUAAAUAUUGGAUAUAUUUUAAAAACUUUAACAAAUUUUUUCAAAACUUCAAGGUGUAUCUAAAUAUUUAAUAUAUAAAUUAAGUUCCCUCCUCUCUACCAAUUUUAUCCCCCUCCCAAGCUUUCUUCUAUGAAGGGAGUUGUGUGCAUUCAUUAAAUGGAUAGAUGCACACAUACCGUCACAUACACACAAACUAUUUUUUAGGAGUUCUGGAAGUGGGGCCAUAUUGUACACAUUCUUCUGCAAAUUUUUUUUCAUUUAACAGUUUUUAAUACCCUUUUCUAUUUCAGUAAUACACAUCUGUGUCAUUUGUUGAAUGACUGCACAAUUGUUUUGUAGAUGAAAUAGAAUGAAAUGUUACAAUUAUUUCUCAUUCAUAGAUAUUUAUGUUAGCACCAAAUUUCUGUGCAAUGAAACUCCCUAUUAAUAAUUACACACUUGCCUAUUAUACCAUAAUAAAUUACUUAGCAGUUGAAAUACUGGGAUUAAGGGUAUGCACAUUUCAAAUUAUUACAAGAUUUCCUUAAAAUGCAGUAACAACUUUAUUUUCAAAUGGCAAUAAAUGAGAUUGCCAGCUUUCCCACAACUUGACAGAUAAUGGAUUUUAUAAAUAUUUAAUUUUAUUUUGCCAAUGUGAUAGCCCAAACUAUUGUCUUAAGUUGUAUUUCUUUUGUUUUUGAGUUUGAUCAUUUUUUCAUAUGUUUAUUAGCCAUCUGUAUUCUUUAAUUUCCUCUUUAUGUCCAAUUUUGGGGUAGGGUUUAGAUUUCUGGUUUUGAAGAGCUCAUUUAUAAUUGGGGAAAUAAGCUUUGGAUUAUGAAGCAUUAUAGAUAUCUUUAUGCACUUUUAUACUUCAUUUUUGUUAUAAGAAUAUGUAUGAUUGUUAUAUGUCCAAGUAUAACCAUGUUUGCUUUUAUGGCUUCUGAGUUUCAUGUCAUUAAUGAAAAAUAUUUAUACUGAUUUCAUAAAACCGUUCACCUAUGUUAACUUCUUAUUCUUUUGUGUUUCUUUUAUUCAAAUUCUUAAACCAUGAGAAAUUUUUUUGAUUUGAAAUCUUAAAGUUGCCAAGUUAUUUGCCAUUACUUGCGAUUAUUUGCCAAUAAUUGCCCAUUUAUCUGUAAUGCCAUCUUGCACAUGUGCUGUAUUUCAUCUGUGACUGGCACCAUUUUUGUUCUGUGGAUAUGUGUGUCUUUUCUUCUGCCUCCUGUCUCAUGUCUAUUCUUGUGGGAAGAAAUUACAGUUUAGACUGCAAUUUCAUCAACUUUAAUAAAUUAAUUUAGGAGGGAUUGGUUUUUUAAUAAUAUAAGUCUUCCUAUCCAAGGACAAGGUAUGUCUUUCUUUUUAUUCUACAAUUUUAAUUGCUGUUAACAUUUUCAUUUUGUUUUGGGGUUUCCUUUAAGUUUAUUUUAUUGAUAUUAUUUCUAUAUCUGAAAAUUUCAUUUUGGGGAUAUUGGUCACCUUACUCUCCUCAUGAUUUUCAGAUUUUCUCAAAGUACAUGCGAAAUCCUUUGCAAAUACUGACCAUUUUAAUUCUCUCCUUCCAAAUGAUCUUUAUUUAAUUAUGUUGAUAAUGUUCACUGACUGAUACUUUCAGAGCAUUUAAAAACUGUGAAACUAUUACCCACCCUUGAUUUAAUUAGUUUUUAAUGUACUUUCUUGGAUUUGACCAGUACAUUGUUGUUGGUCUAUUAACCAAAAAGACUCCAAGAAAAAACUACGAUCAAGAAAAGCUGAGUGAGUUAAACUUACUGCAGCAAGGGAAAACACCACUUUGACAAUGUUUAGUAGUGUUUCAAAAGUAGGCUUUAGGGUAUGGGUUGAUAUGGUUUGAGGUGGAAUUUUCAAAAAAUGGAAAUGGUUAAGAAUGCAUAAAAUUUGGCAUACAAUAGUUUAAGAUUGGAAAAAGAGUAACAUGAGGUCCUUGAUAUGAGUCUAGAUAAUCAAAUUUGUGUCUAAUAAAUGAGUUGUUUGCCUACAUGAGUAAUAUAUAUUUCAAAAAUAGAAGAGCUAUAGCUUAGAUAAGAAAACUGUCAAUUUAUUUAUUUGUUUGCAGUUCUAUCUUGUGUAUAGGAUUCUGCUAGACGUGGUAUCAGGUACUAAUCCUAAUAGGUAAGUUAUUCUUAUUUAGGUGAGCUCAAUCACUAAUGCAAUAUGUGAAUUUUAAAUUUGAGAUAUUUUUGUGUAUCAUAUAGGUAAGUUUCCCACCUUUUAUAUAUUUCUAAGAAAUUCCAUCAAAACCAGGUGGUAGAUGUAAUAAAUGAUUUUUGCUAAACAAUUGUAUUAGUCUUCAAUUAAACUUUUAUUUUUGUGAAAUAAUUCUAUUAUUGAAACUUUAAUUUAUUCCUUGAAUUAACAAUUUGGUAAAAAUGUUUUGGUAAAAAAAAUGUUUCGGUCUAAAUUUACUACUAAAUUAUGAAUAUCUUAAUUUGAUGUGGACUUUUUGCAAGUAUACUUACCGUUAAAUGAAGUUGAUCUAUAAUUUUAUGUCCUAUUUUUGUCAUGGUUUGAUAUCACAUUUUCUGGUUGUGUUAAAUUAAUUUUGAGGACAUUCUAUGCUAUAGAAUUGAUUGAAAACCUUUAGCAUUAAUAUGAAGGGCUGAGUGAACACAUCAAUUAAAUAAUCUGAACCGUCGUCCUUUCUUUUGGUGGUUUGAAGAACUGAGGUUAUCUAGAAAAUUUUCUCACUUGUUUUCUGUAGUGACUGUUUUUUGUCUUGCAUCUUAUAUUUAACUUGUUCUAUCCUAGAAAAUCACAAUCCAUUUAGAUUUUUCAGCACAGUAACAUGAAGUUAUACAAUGUGUUCUUUCAUCACUCUCUUAAUUUCUCAUUUCAGUUGAUAUCCAUUUUCAUUCCAGUUUUGUUAGUUCUAGCAGAACUAUGCCUUUUUUAAAUGAAGUAAGUCUGACUCAUGGAUUUUUUAGCAUCACUAGUUGCUCCUUUGCCUUCCCCCAAUUAGCUUUUUGGUAAAAUUUAUCAGUGUGGUUUUUUUAAACUGUUUUAAUUUAUUUAUAUUUUUUGUAGUUCUUUGCAUUUACUGAAUAAAUUCUUAAACAUGUA